AAUAAGGACCGGCUAAUUCCGUGCCAGCAGCCGCGGUAAUACGGAAGGUCCGGGCGUUAUCCGGAUUUAUUGGGUUUAAAGGGAGCGUAGGCUGGAGAUUAAGUGUGUUGUGAAAUGUAGACGCUCAACGUCUGACUUGCAGCGCAUACUGGUUUCCUUGAGUACGCACAACGUUGGCGGAAUUCGUCGUGUAGCGGUGAAAUGCUUAGAUAUGACGAAGAACUCCGAUUGCGAAGGCAGCUGACGGGAGCGCAACUGACGCUGAAGCUCGAAGGUGCGGGUAUCGAACAGGAUUAGAUACCCUGGUAGUCCGCACAGUAAACGAUGGAUGCCCGCUGUUGGUACCUGGUAUCAGCGGCUAAGCGAAAGCAUUAAGCAUCCCACCUGGGGAGUACGCCGGCAACGGUGAAACUCAAAGGAAUUGACGGGGGCCCGCACAAGCGGAGGAACAUGUGGUUUAAUUCGAUGAUACGCGAGGAACCUUACCCGGGCUUGAACCAAGAGUGACGAGUGCAGAGAUGCGCUUAUUCUUCGGACACUUUUGGAGGUGCUGCUUGGUGGUCGUCAGCUCGUGCCGUGAGGUGGCGGCUUAAGUGCCAUAACGAGCGCAACCCCUGUCUUUAGUUGCCAUCAGGUGAUGCUGGGCACUCUGGAGAUACUGCCACCGUAAGGUGUGAGGAAGGUGGGGAUGACGUCAAAUCAGCACGGCCCUUACGUCCGGGGCUACACCGUGUUACAAUGGCCGGUACAGAGGGAUGGUGUAAUGUAAAUUGCAUCAAAUCUUGAAAGCCGGUCCCAGUUCGGACUGGGGUCUGCAACCCGACCCCACGAAGCUGGAUUCGCUAGUAAUCGCGCAUCAGCCAUGGCGCGGUGAAUACGUUCCCGGGCCUUGUACACACCGCCCGUCAAGCCAUGAAAGCCGGGGGUGCCUGAAGUCCGUGACCGCAAGGAUCGGCCUAGGGCAAAACUGGUGAUUGGGGCUAAGUCGUAACAAGGUAGCCGUACCGGAAGGUGCGGCUGGAACACCUCCUUUCUGGAG
rnacentral:rRNA from 1 species